CAGCUGUCAGGCGCAAGGACAGAGGUCGGCGCGGGGUCUCCCCGGAGCAGGAGGGAGCAGCGGGUGACAGGUGCAGCCGCGCCAUCCCCAGGCAUCCCGGAACCUGGCCUGGAGGCUGCUGUGGGAUCCGCAGCCCUGCGCGCUGGGGAGGCGCUGCAAUGACCCGGCGGCGGCGCCUUCUCCCAGGUCCCCAAAUAGAAACAGCCCCAGUGCCCUCUCUCCGACCCCACCAGGGCCGCUACCGCGCUCCUCCUUACUCAGACCAGGCUCUACCGACUCCGCAACAGCUGCUCACCCCGCUUGAGAUGCAAAAGGUCACCUCUAGAGGAGGAGGAGGUCCUGAACUCAUAACGGAUUCAGAAAGAUUCACAAUAAAUUCGGGUAGAUAAGAAAUUGUGGAAUUGAGGGUAUGUACAUUUACAAUCUUGAUGUUGCCAAAUAAUUGAUGCAAAUUUAAAUUCCUAUCCACAUGAGUUUUCCCUCAACCCCUGUUAAAGUUCAUAAUCUUUGUCAUAUCUAGUCUGUGAAAAAUAGCUCAUUAUCAAUUACUAUUGUGAAUAACUUUUCACCUAUUUAUUUUCCUUGUGUUUCUUCUUCAUGAAAUGCUGUUGAUGACCUUUGCCCAUUUUUCUCCCUGGUUGCUUGUGUGUUCCUUACUCAUUUGAAAAGCCCUUUGCAUAUUAGGGAAACAAGCCAUUUGCCAGUCAUAUUCAUGUAAAAUAUAGAGGGAGGAGUCUUUAAUCAUAUGGGCCUGGGUUUCAUUGUCAUUCUUUUGAUUAAUUAUUUAUUUUUUUGAGACAGAGUCUUGCUCUGUCACACAGGCUGGAGUGCAGUGGCGUGAUCUCAACUCACUGCAAGCUCUGCCUCCCAGGUUCAUGCCAUUUUCCUGCCUCAGCCUCCC
rnacentral:lncRNA from 10 species